rnacentral:lncRNA from 1 species
AAAAAAAAAAAAGGGGAGAGGACGUUACAGAAACUCCAGGUACAACUCACCUCCAGUGGUCUGAGUUGCGCGGCGCUUUCCCGCCUGUCAGGUAGGGGGCGCUGCGCAGAAAGCCGCAGUCCCUCUGCGGAAGGCGCCGCUCUUGGCUUCGGCGGCGCCGCUGUAGCUUGGAGGCGGUACUUCCUCCAGCAUUUGCCGCGAGUUAUUGGCAAGUUCCCCUGCAGUUGUUUGGGCUGUCGCUGUGGCUGGUUCUACUGUGUGCGGCCAGCCAUGGAGCGCUCUGGGCCCAGCGAUGUGACAGGCUCAGACGCAUCGGGACCGGACCCGCAGCUUGCGGUCACCAUGGGCUUCACGGGGUUCGGUAAAAAAGCUCGCACAUUUGACUUGGAAGCAAUGUUUGAACAAACUCGAAGAACAGCUGUGGAAAGAAGUCGCAAAACACUGGUGUUCUUCCAGACUUGGCAAUUAGAUUACACUUAGACCGUCGAAUUAAAAGUGAUUCCCUGUGAGCUGUCCUAGUAAAUUAUGAAAUUGAAGAGAGGGGUUGCAGGAACCCUAGUUUCCUACCGUGAGACAGUUUGACUUACUUUUCUUUAAAAGUUGAAAAUUCUCAUAUGGGCAUUAUUUAUCUCAUGCUUGGUAUUGGAGUCUUUCCCUGGGUAUUCAUAGUACACUUGAGGAAACUAAGACUUUGACCCUUUUAAUAGAAAGUUUGUCUGUAUGUGGGGGUAUGAGCUGUCUUGGUUGCUAAGUGCACUAGUGGAAAGGAUGAAUUACUGUAAAACCCCGAUAAAAUAUGUGCUGUGAAGGGUCUGGAAAUGA